AGAAGUUUCACACGACAGCCUUCCACAACCCUGCCCCCGGAAACCUACCUGUUGAGCGUACCGAAAGCUCAUCGCCGUUCGAAGUGAUUGGCGUUGAUUACGCGGGUCCGAUAGUCUAUAAAGUUUCCAAGAAGAGAGAAGGCAAGUCUUACAAUUUGCUCUUUGCCUGCAGCUUGUCAAGAGCGAUCCACCUCGAGCUGCUGACAGACCAGACUACAGAUGGGUUUAUACGCUGUUUGAAGCGAUUCAUUGCAAGACGGGGAAGACCUUCCACCAUAUACUCAGAUAAUGGGAAAAGUUUUGUAGCCGCCGCAAAGUGGUUGAAUGCGUUGAUGAAGGACGAGAAGUUACAAGAUUACCUUGCCCAUCACCUAAUCAAGUGGAAAUUUAAUUUGGCUAAGGCACCCUGGUGGGGUGGACAAUUCGAACGCUUAGUGGGAAUCGUUAAACAAGCUCUUUGUAAGUCGAUUGGUCGAGCUAUUCUGG